rnacentral:tRNA from 1 species
AUAUAUAUAGUAUAAAGGUACCUUUAAUUUCCAAUUAAAUAGUUUUAUUUAUAAAUAAAUAUAUAUA